rnacentral:rRNA from 1 species
UACGUAGGGGGCGAGCGUUGUCCGGAAUCAUUGGGCGUAAAGAGCUCGUAGGCGGCUCAGUAAGUCGGCUGUGAAAUCCCAGGGCUCAACCCUGGAACUGCAGUCGAUACUGCUGUGGCUUGAGUUUGGUAGAGGAGAAUGGAAUUCCCGGUGUAGCGGUGGAAUGCGCAGAUAUCGGGAGGAACACCAGUAGCGAAGGCGGUUCUCUGGGCCAAUACUGACGCUGAGGAGCGAAAGCGUGGGGAGCAAACAGG